UUCAACCCCCUCCUCUACUAAUGAACCCCCAUGCAACCCCAGUCCUAGUCCUCAGUCUCGCAUUAGGCACAACAAUCACAAUCUCUAGCAACCACUGAGUCCUAGCCUGAACCGGACUAGAAAUUAACACACUAGCCAUCAUCCCCCUAAUCUCCAAAUCCCACCACCCGCGAGCAGUAGAAGCCGCGACAAAAUACUUCUUGACACAGGCAGCUGCCUCCGCCCUAGUACUAUUCUCCAGCAUAACCAACGCCUGAGCCACCGGCCAGUGAGACAUCACACAACUUAACCACCCAACCUCAUGUCUACUGCUCACAGCAGCAAUCGCAAUUAAAUUAGGCCUGGUCCCAUUUCACUUCUGAUUCCCAGAAGUCCUACAAGGAUCCCCCCUAAUAACGGCCCUCCUACUCUCAACCCUCAUAAAAUUCCCCCCACUGACCCUCCUCCUAAUGACAUCUAAAUCUCUCAACCCAGCCCUACUUACCGCAAUAGCCCUGGCCUCAGCAGCAUUGGGAGGCUGAAUAGGACUAAAUCAAACACAAACACGCAAAAUCCUAGCCUUCUCAUCCAUCUCCCACCUAGGCUGAAUCGCCAUCAUCCUAGUCUACAGCCCCAAGCUAGCACUACUCACCUUCUAUCUCUACACAAUCAUGACAUCAGCUGUAUUCAUGGCCCUAAACAAGAUUAAAGCUCUCAACCUGUCCAUAAUCCUAACCUCAUGGACAAAGACCCCGGUACUAAACGCCACCCUAAUGCUAGUGCUGCUGUCCCUGGCAGGCCUCCCCCCACUGACAGGGUUUAUACCAAAGUGACUCAUCAUCCAAGAGCUAACUAAGCAAGAGAUAACACCCGCAGCCAUAGCAAUCGCCAUGCUAUCCCUACUUAGCCUAUUCUUCUACCUACGCCUCGCAUACCACUCAACAAUCACCCUCCCACCAAACUCGUCCAACCACAUAAAACAGUGGUACACUAGCAAACCCCCAAGCACGCCCACCGCAAUCCUAGCCUCACUAUCAAUCCUCCUACUCCCCCUCUCCCCCAUAGUCCACGCUAUUGUCUAGAAACUUAGGAUAACACCCACCUAAACCGAAGGCCUUCAAAGCCUUAAAUAAGAGUUAAACCCUCUUAGUUUCUGCGCUAAGACCAACAGGACACUAACCUGUAUCUCCUGGAUGCAAACCAGACGCUUUAAUUAAGCUAAAGCCUUUACUAGACAGACGGGCUUCGAUCCCGCAAAAUUUUAGUUAACAGCUAAACGCCCAAACCUACUGGCCUCUGCCUAAGGCCCCGGUACACUCUCGUGCACAUCGAUGAGCUUGCAACUCAACAUGAACUUCACUACAGGGCCGAUAAGAAGAGGAAUUGAACCUCUGUAAAAAGGACUACAGCCUAACGCUUUAAACACUCAGCCAUCUUACCCGUGACCUUCAUCAAUCGAUGACUAUUUUCUACCAAUCACAAAGACAUCGGUACUCUAUACCUUAUCUUCGGGGCAUGAGCCGGAAUAAUUGGCACAGCACUCAGCCUACUGAUCCGGGCAGAACUAGGCCAGCCAGGGACCCUCCUGGGCGACGACCAAAUUUAUAACGUGAUCGUCACCGCUCACGCCUUCGUAAUAAUCUUCUUCAUGGUAAUGCCCAUCAUAAUUGGAGGGUUCGGCAACUGAUUGGUCCCCCUGAUAAUCGGUGCCCCCGACAUAGCAUUCCCACGAAUAAACAACAUAAGCUUCUGACUCCUCCCACCAUCAUUCCUCCUUCUACUCGCCUCAUCCACUGUAGAAGCUGGCGCUGGUACGGGUUGAACCGUAUACCCACCUCUAGCAGGCAACCUAGCCCACGCCGGAGCCUCAGUGGACCUGGCUAUCUUCUCACUUCACCUGGCUGGUGUCUCCUCCAUCCUCGGAGCCAUUAACUUCAUUACCACAGCCAUCAACAUAAAACCCCCCGCACUCUCACAAUACCAAACCCCACUUUUCGUCUGAUCAGUCCUAAUUACCGCCAUCCUGCUCCUCCUAUCACUCCCCGUCCUCGCCGCCGGCAUCACAAUGCUACUAACCGACCGAAACCUAAACACCACAUUCUUUGAUCCUGCCGGAGGGGGAGACCCAAUCCUGUACCAACACCUAUUUUGAUUCUUCGGCCACCCAGAAGUCUAUAUCUUAAUCCUCCCAGGAUUCGGAAUUAUCUCACACGUAGUCACAUACUACUCGGGCAAAAAGGAACCCUUCGGCUACAUAGGAAUAGUCUGAGCCAUGCUAUCCAUCGGCUUCCUAGGAUUUAUCGUCUGAGCCCACCACAUAUUCACCGUAGGAAUAGACGUUGACACCCGGGCCUACUUCACAUCCGCCACUAUAAUCAUCGCCAUCCCUACCGGAAUCAAAGUCUUUAGCUGACUCGCCACCCUACACGGGGGAACAAUCAAAUGAGAUCCCCCAAUACUCUGAGCUCUAGGGUUUAUCUUCCUAUUUACCAUCGGAGGACUAACAGGGAUCGUCCUUGCGAACUCCUCCCUAGAUAUCGCCCUGCAUGACACGUACUACGUAGUCGCCCACUUCCACUACGUACUAUCUAUGGGCGCUGUCUUUGCCAUCCUAGCUGGAUUCACUCACUGAUUCCCCCUUCUUACAGGAUUCACUCUACACCAAACAUGAGCAAAAGCCCACUUCGGAGUGAUAUUUACAGGGGUAAACCUAACAUUCUUCCCCCAACACUUCCUAGGCCUGGCAGGAAUGCCCCGACGAUACUCGGACUACCCUGAUGCCUACACACUGUGAAACACCGUCUCCUCUAUUGGGUCCCUGAUCUCAAUAGUGGCCGUAAUCAUACUAAUGUUCAUCAUCUGAGAAGCCUUCUCAGCCAAACGGAAAGUCCUCCAACCAGAAUUAACCGCCACAAACAUUGAGUGAAUCCACGGCUGCCCCCCUCCAUACCACACCUUCGAGGAGCCAGCUUUCGUUCAAGUACAAGAAAGGAAGGAAUCGAACCUCCAUACACUGGUUUCAAGCCAGCUGCAUUAACCACUCAUGCUUCUUUCUCAU